AAGCCUUUCAACAACUAAAAAUUUUUCGGUGAAAUCACAAGAAACGAUGGCAUUUUAUAUGAAUUUGCCACGCAUAGCAGAGGAGAGAUUGUACAUUGACGAGAAUGCAGAGUAUAAAUAUUUUCAAAGUGACCUUUCACAUGAAGAAUGGACGGUAAACAAUAUUUCGAAAACAAGGACUCCACUCAACAAUGAAACGAG